rnacentral:rRNA from 1 species
UACGGAGGGUGCGAGCGUUGUCCGGAUUUAUUGGGUUUAAAGGGUGCGUAGGCGGCUUUAUAAGUCUGGGGUGAAAGCGCGCUGCUCAACAGCGGAACUGCCCUGGAUACUGUAGAGCUUGAGGACAGACGAGGUUGGCGGAAUAGAAGAUGUAGCGGUGAAAUGCAUAGAUAUCUUCUAGAACCCCGAUUGCGAAGGCAGCUGACUAGACUGUAUCUGACGCUGAGGCACGAAAGCGUGGGGAGCGAAC